UGCAUUUCUGUCACGCCGUUUUCCAAUAGCAGAAGACAAAAAGGGCUAGCAAAGAGAAUUACAAUUUAAAUAGUAAAAGCAUUAAGGGAGGCAUUACAGUGAAAUUGACAUUAAUACAAAACAAAACAAAAACCUAUUCCAUGGAUAACUGUGGUAAUUCUAGAGUUAAUGCCAAUAAGUACCAAUCUCUGAAGAUGCAUACAUUUAUCAAACCAAAAACAACCUGGGCUCACCUGGCUACUUUGAUGACUCCAGAUAACCUUGGACUAGUUGCACACCUCCAUGCCAGUGCCAACACAGUCAAAUAUCUACCCCAUAAACUUUCAAUGGCACUUUAUGCACCUUCUAUGGUGACCAUGGGUAAUGAAGAAUUAGGAUUCAAUACCAAAGAGGGAGCCUGACGAAUGAUUACCACUUCCAAGAAAGGCAUGCA
rnacentral:ncRNA from 1 species